AGUUUGAUCCUGGCUCAGAUUGAACGCUGGCGGCAGGCCUAACACAUGCAAGUCGAACGGUAACAGGAAGCAGCUUGCUGCUUUGCUGACGAGUGGCGGACGGGUGAGUAAUGUCUGGGAAACUGCCUGAUGGAGGGGGAUAACUACUGGAAACGGUGGCUAAUACCGCAUAACGUCGCAAGACCAAAGAGGGGGACCUUCGGGCCUCUUGCCAUCAGAUGUGCCCAGAUGGGAUUAGCUAGUUGGUGAGGUAACGGCUCACCAAGGCGACGAUCCCUAGCUGGUCUGAGAGGAUGACCAGCCACACUGGAACUGAGACACGGUCCAGACUCCUACGGGAGGCAGCAGUGGGGAAUAUUGCACAAUGGGCGCAAGCCUGAUGCAGCCAUGCCGCGUGUAUGAAGAAGGCCUUCGGGUUGUAAAGUACUUUCAGCGGGGAGGAAGGUGUUGUGGUUAAUAACCACAGCAAUUGACGUUACCCGCAGAAGAAGCACCGGCUAACUCCGUGCCAGCAGCCGCGGUAAUACGGAGGGUGCAAGCGUUAAUCGGAAUUACUGGGCGUAAAGCGCACGCAGGCGGUCUGUCAAGUCGGAUGUGAAAUCCCCGGGCUCAACCUGGGAACUGCAUUCGAAACUGGCAGGCUUGAGUCUUGUAGAGGGGGGUAGAAUUCCAGGUGUAGCGGUGAAAUGCGUAGAGAUCUGGAGGAAUACCGGUGGCGAAGGCGGCCCCCUGGACAAAGACUGACGCUCAGGUGCGAAAGCGUGGGGAGCAAACAGGAUUAGAUACCCUGGUAGUCCACGCCGUAAACGAUGUCUACUUGGAGGUUGUGCCCUUGAGGCGUGGCUUCCGGAGCUAACGCGUUAAGUAGACCGCCUGGGGAGUACGGCCGCAAGGUUAAAACUCAAAUGAAUUGACGGGGGCCCGCACAAGCGGUGGAGCAUGUGGUUUAAUUCGAUGCAACGCGAAGAACCUUACCUGGUCUUGACAUCCACAGAACUUUCCAGAGAUGGAUUGGUGCCUUCGGGAACCGUGAGACAGGUGCUGCAUGGCUGUCGUCAGCUCGUGUUGUGAAAUGUUGGGUUAAGUCCCGCAACGAGCGCAACCCUUAUCCUUUGUUGCCAACGAUUAGGUCGGGAACUCAAAGGAGACUGCCAGUGAUAAACUGGAGGAAGGUGGGGAUGACGUCAAGUCAUCAUGGCCCUUACGACCAGGGCUACACACGUGCUACAAUGGCGCAUACAAAGAGAAGCGACCUCGCGAGAGCAAGCGGACCUCAUAAAGUGCGUCGUAGUCCGGAUUGGAGUCUGCAACUCGACUCCAUGAAGUCGGAAUCGCUAGUAAUCGUGGAUCAGAAUGCCACGGUGAAUACGUUCCCGGGCCUUGUACACACCGCCCGUCACACCAUGGGAGUGGGUUGCAAAAGAAGUAGGUAGCUUAACCUUCGGGAGGGCGCUUACCACUUUGUGAUUCAUGACUGGGGUGAAGUCGUAACAAGGUA
rnacentral:rRNA from 1 species